GAUCAACUGAAUUUUGAUGACAUUGCGAAGAGGGAAAAGUAUUACAAUGCGGAAGAAGCUUAUACACAGAGCAAACUUUGUAACAUACUAUUUACCAAAGAAUUGGCAUCUCGAUUAUCAGGUACAGGAGUAACAACUUAUUGUCUACAUCCGGGUGCUAUUGACACAGAGUUAGGAAGGCAUUGGAGAAGUAAACAGAGGUUUAUAAGAGAACCCAUUUAUUUUAUAUAUUCUCUCUUUACCAAAACUCCAUAUGAAGGAGCUCUUACUAAUAUCUACUGUGCAGUUGAUGAAUCAUUGGAUAAGGAAACAGGAAAAUAUUACAGUGACUGUGCAGAGAAGGCUCCUUCUAAACCAGCUUUAGAUGAAGGAGCCGCCAAGAAGUUAUGGGAAUUGUCAGAAAAACUUGUUGGUCUUUAAAUGUGAAAAAUCGAAGGUGCAAAUAUAUUCCUAGUAAAUAGUCUCAGACUCUAGUGCAAGAAGAAAUUGAAAACAAUUGCAUAUAAUUAUGAACAUACUGCUGAAACUAUACCUCAAUGAUGAAAUAAUGACUUUUAUUUGCAAUUUUUAAGUAAGUCAUAGUAAUAUCAAUUGGUUUGAUAAUUUGUUGUGUACUUUAAAAACAUAAAAAAGAAUUUCGACUUUA